UGUCGGCGUGCCUAACACAUGCAAGUCGAGCGAUUCUCUUCGGAGAAGAGCGGCGGACGGGUGAGUAACGCGUGGGUAACCUGCCCUGUACACACGGAUAACAUACCGAAAGGUAUGCUAAUACGGGAUAAUAUAAGAAAUUCGCAUGUUUUUCUUAUCAAAGCUCCGGCGGUACAGGAUGGACCCGCGUCUGAUUAGCUAGUUGGUGAGGUAACGGCUCACCAAGGCGACGAUCAGUAGCCGACCUGAGAGGGUGAUCGGCCACAUUGGAACUGAGACACGGUCCAAACUCCUACGGGAGGCAGCAGUGGGGAAUAUUGCACAAUGGGCGAAAGCCUGAUGCAGCAACGCCGCGUGAGCGAUGAAGGCCUUCGGGUCGUAAAGCUCUGUCCUCAAGGAAGAUAAUGACGGUACUUGAGGAGGAAGCCCCGGCUAACUACGUGCCAGCAGCCGCGGUAAUACGUAGGGGGCUAGCGUUAUCCGGAUUUACUGGGCGUAAAGGGUGCGUAGGCGGUCUUUUAAGUCAGGAGUGAAAGGCUACGGCUCAACCGUAGUAAGCUCUUGAAACUGGAGGACUUGAGUGCAGGAGAGGAGAGUGGAAUUCCUAGUGUAGCGGUGAAAUGCGUAGAUAUUAGGAGGAACACCAGUAGCGAAGGCGGCUCUCUGGACUGUAACUGACGCUGAGGCACGAAAGCAUGGGGAGCAAACAGGAUUAGAUACCCUGGUAGUCCACGCCGUAAACGAUGAGUACUAGCUGUCGGAGGUUACCCCCUUCGGUGGCGCAGCUAACGCAUUAAGUACUCCGCCUGGGGAGUACGCUCGCAAGAGUGAAACUCAAAGGAAUUGACGGGGACCCGCACAAGUAGCGGAGCAUGUGGUUUAAUUCGAAGCAACGCGAAGAACCUUACCUAAGCUUGACAUCCUUUUGACCGAUGCCUAAUCGCAUCUUUCCCUUCGGGGACAGAAGUGACAGGUGGUGCAUGGUUGUCGUCAGCUCGUGUCGUGAGAUGUUGGGUUAAGUCCCGCAACGAGCGCAACCCUUGCCUUUAGUUGCCAUCAUUAAGUUGGGCACUCUAGAGGGACUGCCAGGGAUAACCUGGAGGAAGGUGGGGAUGACGUCAAAUCAUCAUGCCCCUUAUGCUUAGGGCUACACACGUGCUACAAUGGGUGGUACAGAGGGCAGCGAAGUCGUGAGGCCAAGCUAAUCCCUUAAAGCCAUUCUCAGUUCGGAUUGUAGGCUGAAACUCGCCUACAUGAAGCUGGAGUUACUAGUAAUCGCAGAUCAGAAUGCUGCGGUGAAUGCGUUCCCGGGUCUUGUACACACCGCCCGUCACACCAUGGGAGUUGGGGGCGCCCGAAGCCGGCUAGCUAACCUAUUGGAAGCGGUCGUCGAAGGUGAAACCAAUAACU
rnacentral:rRNA from 1 species